UUCACUUCAGUUAACUUCGUCAAUCGUCAUUUAGUGGUGACCGAAACUUCGAUGUGUGUGGUAGUGAAGUUAACUUUUCUAACAUAGUAUUUCACAAAAUAACACAUAAUUAACUACUAAAGUACAAUAACGUAUCGACCGUGAUAAUAGAAACAUUCAACGUGUCUUUAGUUUUUUGAAUAGUAUUCAAAAUGUGUGAUAAUAACAAUCCUUCGACGCAAAGUAUAGCGGACUACUUAGCUCAGUUGCUCAAAGACAGGAAGCAACUGGCUGCGUUCCCGAAUGUUUUCAUGCACAUGGAACGACUUUUGGAUGAAGAAAUUGCAAAGGUCCGCGCGAAUCUAUUCCAAAUAAAUGGGGUGAAGAAAGAGCCCCUCAUUCUUCCGGAAGCAGAAGGCAUGGUCACCACACUCACAGAAAAAGUAUACGUGCCAGUCAAAGAACAUCCAGAUUUCAACUUCGUGGGCAGGAUUUUGGGACCGAGAGGCAUGACCGCCAAGCAGCUGGAGCAAGAAACAGGUUGCAAAAUCAUGGUCAGAGGCAAAGGAUCCAUGAGGGACAAGAAGAAGGAGGACGCAAACAGAGGCAAGCCAAAUUGGGAGCACCUGGCUGAUGAUCUACACGUAUUGCUCACCGUGGAAGACACGGAGAACAGGGCAAAGAUCAAGUUGGCCAGGGCCGUGGAGGAGGUUAAGCGUCUGCUUGUUCCACAAGCAGAUGGUGAGGAUGAGUUGAAGAAACGCCAAUUAAUGGAAUUGGCCAUCAUUAACGGCACAUACCGCGACUCGAGCGCGAAAGGCGUCGUGCCUGUCAACGGUCAGUGCGUAUUAACUGACGAGGAGUGGCGGCGCGUGGCGGCGGAGACGCAGCGGCUGCUGGCGCCCGGCGGCGGCGUGGGCGGCGUGGCGCUGCGCGCGCAGGCCCCGCUCGGCGCGCCGCUCAUCCUCUCCCCGCGCAUGACCACCGGCCCGGGAGCUCAAGCGAGCCUGCUGAACGGCACGGGCGCGGGCGCGGCGGCCGGCCUGCUGUCGCCCGGCGAGCCCGCGCACCAGCUGAUCUACGCGUCGCCGUACGCGGACUACGCCAACUACGCGGCGCUCACGGCCGCCGCCAACCCGCUGCUCACGGCCGAGUACGCCGCCGCCGACCAUACGGCGUCGAGGUAUCUUCUCGCUGGCUUUUGACAUUGGCCGCACACGCAACAGACCUCAAUAAGAUUCGACAGGCUCCCAUCACCGGCCUUCGCAACAUAUUUACCGUCCUUGACAGAUCUAUAUACACGAAUGCCUUUCUAGAGUCAUAUUAUCAGUUAACAUAGACUAAGCUUAAUUAAGAACAAUGUAGCUGUAAAUCCGUGUUUUGUACCUACGUUUAGAUUUUUCUAAACUUUGUUUUCUGUCUGUUGUGUACAGUCAUUUGAAAGUAUAACUUGUUUUGAACAAAGAGUUAUUAUUAUUAUUUAUUAUAUAGCAGAUUUUAAUAUUUACACAGAUUAAUAUAAUUUACGUAUUUAUUGCAAAUUAUAUUUUAUGUUUGACUCCUUUCGAAUGGCAGUUUUAGAUGGAGUUUUCUAGGAUAAUAUUGUUAAACUGCCAAUAGAAACCCUUAAGUUACCGAUACAUCGUAUACAAAGACAUAGAUUUUUUAUACACACACACACACUUGUCUUUUAACCAAUAGUUUUUAUUCAUUUAAAUAUCUUUAGAGUAUUGUGAUUACCCUUGCUUGUAACAACACUAAUACAUUAACAUGUUUCAUCCCUUAGUUUCAUAUUUUCGGUCAUCCUGCAUGUUUACUCGUUUUUUUUUUUCACAGUUGUGAAUAACAUCAGUUUUAUAUUAACAGGAAAAUCUCUGAAUGGCGAAAUAAAUAAAAUAAAAUUCAGCGAUUACAAGCAAAAGGGACCAAUUACGAUUUGAAUUAUAUUACAAUGAUUCGCAAAUUAUAAUUAUUAUAUUUAAAAUAUUAACCACACUGAUAAUUUACGCGAUACACAUUUUUAUACGAACACGAAUAAGUUCUCAUCGACACAUUUACGUUUCUGACAAUAUUUUAACGUAAUAAAGAGAACGACAUAGAACACAUACAAAAUGUUAUUCUAUUGUUUAAAAUUGUAUGGUAAUUUAUUAAUUUAUUAGCCAUAAUAUAUUAUCGUAUUUAUAUACAUACCAUAGGUUAAGACAUAUUUUUAUCUUCUGAAGAUUAUACGUUAGCUUAGGAACGAGUGAGCUUUAUAAAAUGAGUAGAUGUACACCUUGUAUGUCCGAUUUUUUCGCAGUUUAGUCAAUUCAAGUUCUGAUAAACGUUCUAUUUGAUUCUCAAAUCAGCCAUUUUGUACGUACCUUAGCGGGAUAACCCGAUUUGAAAUCUCUUUUAGUUUUUCCAAAGCAAUAAUAAAAUAGGUUAUAUAGGCUUAGAUGCACACAUAGAAUAUGUUAGUGAUACUGCCAAAUUAAAAGCUUCGAAUUUUUUUUUUUUUAUAUUUUUGUUGCCAGUGCUUACGCUAUUGCAAGUGAUGCAAAUUUAGCUAUUGAUGAGAUUAUAUUAUAUUUUUUCAGCAUUUAUACCACCCAGGAGGUAAAAAAUAUUCCGUAAAUUCACACAUAAAUACAUGUUAAGAAAAAAUUUAUAAAACUAAAUUCAUUAAUCACGACUGAAAUUUCACUUGUAUCAAAAAACCUGGGUGUGAAUUCGUAAAAAAAAUAAUGCAUUGGUUGAUAAGAAUGCUCUGUUCAGACACAGAUGAUAAAUAUCCUGUGCCGCUAGGUGUCGUGCGGAGGGCGGGUCGGCUCGCGCAAGUGAGGGAGCACCCUUACCAGCGCACGGCCUUACCGGCGCCUUAAAUAACCCGCCAUUUGCUCUCACGCCGCCAUUUUGUUCACAAGGUGCGUGCUAAGGCGCCGAGGCACUAACAGCAGACGCGGCCGCCCGCCCCACCGGACUCGGUCGCCGCGUAACAUUAUCAUCGGAACAUCGACCACCAUGUAGCUAUAGCUGUUGGGCCUUUCACGUUAACAUUUACUAUGUAUUUUAAUAGUCUAACUAUUAACAUUUAUAUGCCUGUUAUGUUUAUAACAUGAUGAACUUUAUUAACAAAUUUAUAUACUAUAUUUUUAAUGGCACACGCCAUCGACUAUAUUCACUAUUUUGUACUUCUGUUGUCGCUUAUUAUGUUUAGCACGAGUGUUGCUAGGUUACCCUAUCUAUGACGGCGUUAAAUUUUAUUUAAAUUUAUUUAUAUAUUUCAUGGAAAAUUAUGGUCAAAAUUAUUAUUAUUCAGUUUUGAAAUGUUUUAAAAUUUAGCGCCGUAAAAUAUUAAAUGUUUAUUUAUCCCUAAAGGGAUAUAUUUCGGUACUAUUAUUUCGUGUUUUGCUUCAAGUGUUUUUAUUUGAGUAAAACGUGCCUGACCGACAGUAGUUAUAAACCUAGUACAAAGAAAUAAAUAUGUAAUAUCACAAAAAAAUUAAUGAACUCCUGGGAUGAAGAUCGUGGCCUUAAACAAGAUGGCGGCCAAACUGUAAGUAUUUUCUGUUCAAAUCGAAUAUAAUCAGCACUCAAGAUUUGACUGAUGAUCGAGUGAUUCGAAUAAUAAUUAUAAAUUUUCAUGUACGAGUCGAUUUCUUUAUUUUGGCAGAAAUAUAUAUAAACUUAAAACCAAAGACUAAUGUUUGCAGACGUAACAUCUGUUAGAAACAUUAUUGUUGAAAAAGUCUUCCUACAAUAUUGAAUAAAAAUUGUCGAUGCGUACAUGAAUUUUCAAAAAUAAUAUGUUUAUAGAAGUAUAUUUUUAUUUUUAGUGCUUAAUAUUUAUACAUGGAUAUCAAAUGUGCAUCCCAAGUGCCUUAACAAUGUACAAUGUUCACGUUUGUGGUUCUAUACAUAUUGUUAUGCUUAUUUAAUAGUUAAGGAAAGUUAGAAGAGAUUAAAUUAUUGUUAACUUUACUAAAUGUUAAUGUUUUUCACCUUUUUUUGCAUAAAUCAAUGGAGUAUGAAAUUAAUCUCUUUAUUUUGAUAGGUUUAUUAGUAGGUAUAUAGUUUUAUUAUAUUUUUUACAUUAAAGCCUUCGUUGCAAUCUCUUGCGAGAAUCUCUAGUGCGUUAUCGCAAUAAAAGUUUCUUUAAUGGGUUUUGUAAUAUCUAUUAUACAUUGAUUUUUAUAUUCUGUGCUUACGUCUCGAUAUAGAUAAAAAGCAACUAGGGCAAUCAUAGUUUAAUUGUUAUUGUAAAUAGCUUUUAAAAGUAAUAAAGUCAAAGCAAUAAUAUUUUCAAUAAUUACAUUUAUUAACGUUAGUGCAAUAGAUGUGUUAAUGCGAAUUCAUAUUUUAUUAUAGGUCUCAAUAGAUUCGUUGAGAAAUAUUUAAAAUAUAUAAGAGAUCUGAUGUUGAGAUUAAAUCUUAUAAUAAAAUUAGGAACAAUACCUUUAGGAAAUGAUACGAAACAUUCAAAAUAAUUAAUACAGUAAAAACCGUUUCAGUCAUAUAAUUCGAAUAUUUUCUCAAUAAUUUUCAAUUUAAACGCUGUCCGUCCAUGAUUACUUCAUCGUGUAAGUACUUAAUUUGUUGAUAGUUCAUAGUAAAGUGUCACUUCACGCAAUUUUUUAUGGAAUGAAGAUCGAAAUGCCCUGUAUUUCUUUUCAAAAUCACAUCUCUGCAAUAAUAAUAAAAUAAAAUAUUGCUUCCCAACGUUUUCGUUUUUAAUAUUCAUAUUCUAUUUCAAAUAAUUUAUAGAUAAGUAAGAAUAUAUUUAGUUUUUAUACUCAAGAAUACAAAAUUUAUUUAUAAUCACAAGCUUUCCUACAUUUGUUUGGUACAAAAUUAUUUUAUACAAAUCUAAGCAUUUAAAAACGUGCGAUGCCAUAGACACAGUUUUGAAAUCUAAUAGCAAUAGACAUUAAGAAACUAUAAACGUACAAAGCUUGAAACUGCUUCUAUAUAAUAUCUUGUAUAUUAUAUGCCACUGUUGCUAAUAGCUUGCGAUCGCGAAGCGUUUUAGAACAUAAUUGUGCCAUCAGAGACGUGUUAAAAUCGACGUCAUUAUUAUAUUAAUUGUACUUAUUAUAGCGAUAUUAACGGCAAUAAAAAUCGAGUGCCUUUUAUAAACUCUUUGUAAAUAUUUAUACAUUAUUGCAUAUUUUUCAAAAGUAUUAUAUAGAGGAGAAUGAAUUCUUAAAAUUGUUUUCCAAAAACAAAUUAUCAUAGUAUAUCUUUAUCUACGUUAAAAUUAGUUAAGUGAGAUUGUGCAUAUUACUUAUGUCUGUUUUAAUGUGUGUCUAAGAUUGAUUUGGCAUUAGUAAAUAUAUUAUUUGAAAAAUG